ACCACAUCACGUAUGAUCACCAAAGUUAAGCAAUGUCAUGUUUGGUCAGUACCUAGAUGGGUGACCACUUGGGAAUACCAGGUGCUGUAAG